AGGACGAGGCACUGGGGCAGCAGGCGGCGGCCCUGGAGCGCUGCCGGCGGACCCAGCGGCGCCAGCUGGGCCUGGUGCGGGAGCAGGAGCGCGUCCUGCGGGAGCAGGUGCAGCGGCUGGAGCGCAACGUGCGGCGCCUCUGCCGCGCCGCGGGCCUCCUGCUGGCCCAGUGGGACACCGCGGCCCCAGGCUCCCAGGGCGCCACCGAGGCGGCUGCGGAACUGCGCGCCCUGCAGGCGAGGGCAGAGCGCAGCGAGCGCGAGCGGGAAGAGGCGGCGCGCAGCCUGCAGGAGCACCGGGCCACCGAGCGCCAGCUCCGCGGGCAGCUGGAGGAGCUGCGCUGCUGCAUCUAUGGGCUGAAGCUGUCAGAGAUUGGCCUGCAGGGCCAGGUGGAGGACCUCGCCCAGCAAAACCAGUGCCUGCGAGAGGAGCUGGGAGCCCAGGCCCCUAUUGGUCACUGCAGCCUGGAUGCUCUGGGCUGUGUUCAGGGUGACUCACUGCCCCUGCCCAGGGAGGAGGCCCUGGACCCCUGCAGAAGCCAAGACUGGCGGAACUCCCUGCGGUCCAAUGAUGCACCCAGACAAAGGGCCCCAGCAGGUGCGCGGGUACCGCGGUGCGUGGAGGACGAGUCGCGGGCAGCACCCACUGAAUGGCUAGCUCACUUCCUCCUUAUCAUGUCCCGAUGACGCAGGGAGAGGGGGUGGUCCCCCCUCCCUACAGACAAGAAUCGAGGCUCAGAGAGGUAGGGUCCCUCUAUCAGGGUCACACAGCUGCUGCAGGUGGGAUCAGAGUAUGCAACUCCCACCAGGGGCCUUUGGCUCGGGCUCAGCUGAACACAGGCUCACACCCUUGGCCCUCGGGAGGGUGCCAGCCAGGGGGCCUCAUAGGCCAGCAGGUUGGCAGCAGGGACAUGCUUUCACAGAAGUCCGUAUGAUGGCCAGGAGCCGUCCU
rnacentral:lncRNA from 1 species